ACCUUAUAUCUCCAACUACAAAUUAAAGCCCAACAAUUAAAUGGAGCCCAUCUUUAAUAAUUUACCCAUGUCAACUAAUGAAGCCCAACUAACCAAAACAUCUCAUUUAAAUUAAAGAGGCCCAAGCAUCCAAUUCUAAUUAAUGAGGCCCAAUCCCAAUUAAUAACAAAAGCCCAAAAUCAAAAGUACUCCCCCCCUCACAUUCACACUCUCGGUUCUCUCUCUUCUUUCUCUCUUCUUCUUUCUCUCUCCCGUCGAAAAAUUGCAGAAGCUCGACGCCUUGAAGGAAUCCGAUCUGGCGUCGCCUUCCACCUCCGCCGUUCGCUCAGCCGUCUCCAGCCGCUGCUCCGUCGCUGCACCGACCGCGCCGUCGCCCGCUGAACCAACGCACGCCGUCGCUGCUGUGCGGUUCAACCUCCGCCGCGAAGGGUGCCGCCACCGGUCGGUCCCAGCGACGAUUCGCACACCGUCGUCGCCGUCUGAGUGGAGGGACUCUGCCGCCACUGCCGUCGUCCAAUUCAGCCGAGCCGCUGCUGCCGUCGUCCAAUUCAGCCGAGCCGCUGCUUCCGUCGUCCAAUUCAUCCAUCGUCCAUCACCGAACCAACCCCGAACAACUCCGAACAGCCCCGAAACGACCCGAACAAAUACCGCGCAGCCCCGACUAGCUCUGAAAGAUAAGUUCUCAUUCAAAAAUGCGACAAUUCUUGUUUCAAAAUUGUGUAGGAGAUUACCUCUGUGAAUGAGAAAUCAAAAUCUGCAAGGAUUUGAAAGGAAUGGUUCUUGAAUCUCUGUCUCGGUCCUAUUCAAAAAUUUCAAUGAGUUUGACGAGUUGAUUCAGAAGCAAAAACGUGUACAGAGAUGGAGUUUGCAAGAUUACCUUGAGUAGGAAUUUGAAGAGAAUUCUUUGUUUGAUGCAGGGAUGGGAGGGACGAAAUGUGCAGCAACUAAUAUAGAGGAGUAGAUGAUUUAGUUGAGAGGUUGGAGAGAUUUGGGGAGUGGGGAGAGAGGGAAGAACGGUUUAGACAUGUAUUGAGGGGGUUUUUGAUUUAAUUGAUUUUAUUUGGUAUUUUAUUUGUAGAUUACGGAGGUUGAAGAUAUCUGCUGGAUCUUUAUUUUGUAAUUGAAUUAAUAUCAGGGAGAAUCGUUAGUUAAA